rnacentral:lncRNA from 1 species
UAUAUUUCAUAUUUACAGGUUACACUAGACAGUGGCAGUGCCUUCAGAAGCACCUUUACUUUUUUACACAGGUGACACUUACUAGGGAUGUGUAACAGAAAACAGUGGUGUUUAGAGAAAAGGGAUGUGUAUAUUCAUGCAAUUGUAGUACACCUCAUGAACCAUUGUAAAAUCAAGUUAUGAAACUGCUAGGGACUAUUUGCAUAUUCUUUCUGACUUAACAAUUCUGGAACCUGACUGGAGGCAGUGUUUAUUCAUAAGUUACAAGAGUUGCCAAUCAGAUGGAGACCAUUUUAACCAUUAAGAAGAUCAUGAACAGAGAAAUUCACAAUGGAAAAUAACUGGUUCAUCUAGGUAUACAAUGUGUACAAAUGCUGCAUUGAUAUUUCAAACUAAUAUACGCUUUGUUGGUGACAUUUCUGAACGCUGUUCCAUAUACACAAUAUGUUUGAAAAGAGAGGCAAUGAGACCAGCACAUCAUCCUUCCGUCGCUGAACAGAAUCUGAUGUGCCAUUAAUCAGGUCAGCCAAUCAGCAUGCGGGGAUUAGCAUAAUAUACAGACACACUUAAUCAGGUAUACUAUACAGUUAAUCAUGUGUAUGCUAAUAGUUAUGGGGGAUUAACCAUUUAGGACGCUGCUUUUCUGUUCUGAUUGGUUGUAUUUCCUAUCUGUUAACUUUCCCUCUCCUCUUUUGUUGUUCCCACCCCCACUCCCAUUUAUGCCUUCCACCUAAAACUGUGACUAUUGAAAUUGUUGCUGGAAGACUGCCUGUAUAAUUAAGUAACUUAAAUAGAAAAAUAAUAGAAUUCAAAUGCUAGAUUCACAAACUGAUCACAGACUGAUAAAACUAUCGUUUCUUAUGGAAAAAAAAAAAAAAAAAGUGAUUUUGCUUCCUCAGAAAGUGUUCCUGGUCUCAAGGACUGUGAAUAUAAAUUACAGUUUAAUCAUCAAACUAUGUUAAUUUCAGGGACAGAUUUUGAAUUUGUUAAUUAACUUCUAAUGGCAAAAUAUCUGAAUGUAUUUAUUUUUUGUAAUCAAAAGCAAAACACUGUAAUAAGAUGAUUUGGCUAUCCACUGGAAAUAGGUAGAGAGAGAAAAAAAAAAAAAAAGUAGCAGCCAAAAGUAAUCCCUCAAGCCAUACUGUAAUUGAGUGUUUGCAUAUAGUCAGGGCUAUCAAUACAAGUGCUGAAGGAUACAGUCAGAAUGAAGGGUGGAGCCAGCAGGAG